rnacentral:rRNA from 1 species
GACGAACGCUGGCGGCGUGCUUAACACAUGCAAGUCGAACGGUAAGGCCCUUCGGGGUACACGAGUGGCGAACGGGUGAGUAACACGUGGGUGAUCUGCCCUGCACUUCGGGAUAAGCCUGGGAAACUGGGUCUAAUACCGGAUAGGACUCCGGACUGCAUGGUCUGGGGUGGAAAGCUUUUGCGGUGUGGGAUGGGCCCGCGGCCUAUCAGCUUGUUGGUGGGGUGAUGGCCUACCAAGGCGACGACGGGUAGCCGGCCUGGGAGGGUGACCGGCCACACUGGGACUGAGAUACGGCCCAGACUCCUACGGGAGGCAGCAGUGGGGAAUAUUGCACAAUGGGCGCAAGCCUGAUGCAGCAACGCCGCGUGAGGGAUGACGGCCUUCGGGUUGUAAACCUCUUUAAGUAGGGAAGAAGCGAAAGUGACGGUACCUGCAGAAAAAGCACCGGCUAACUACGUGCCAGCCGCCGCUGUAA